rnacentral:lncRNA from 1 species
ACUGAGCUGCUCUCAGCGGGGAGCGGCGGCGGAGGGGAAACGAGGCGGCUCAGCGAGCACGGAUUAUAUGUAAAUGUUGUGGACAGAGCGCCUUUCCCCGAUUCUACCAUCUGAAUGGGCAAAAUUUGCUAGUAACACAGAAGUAAGCUGCACUCCCCUGGUGUCUGACAUCUAGGAUCAGUCACAAGAACUAAUAUCACUCCUGCUGAGCUGGCGCAAACCUCCAAUUCUGUCUGGAUAAUUUCAGUUAAUGAGACUCAGAGAUGAUUUGUCCUACUAAAGCAAGCUCAAUUUGAAAUACAACAUGAACAGUAGCCUGAUAAAUCAGAAGAACAUCCUCAGGCACAAUUUAUUUUUAACAAAAAUACAUCCACAAAAUGAAACAGAGAAACAGUAGACAAAUGCCGUGGUUUAACAAAACAUAAAUGUGGACAACACAACGUAAAGUAACACACCUGUGAUUCAAAGAACAUGAUGUAAAGUGAAAUGAGAUUAAUGUUGCACUCUUUCUUAAGUCAACUUCUAUAAUUCUACAUAGUAGGUGUGAUGUAGCAUGUAUAAAAAAUACAUUUUUAAACCUAUUAAGAACCAGAUCCAAUCACUGCCAUCAUCAAAAGACUCCCUUAGAUUUCACAGAUAAAUGUAUUGAAUCAUGAAAUCAUCCUGAUACCAUUUUAAUCUUAAACUAUUAAAAAAACUUUGUAAACAAA